UACGUAGGGGGCUAGCGUUGCUCGGAAUCACUGGGCGUAAAGCGCACGUAGGCGGAUCUUUAAGUCAGGGGUGAAAUCCUGGAGCUCAACUCCAGAACUGCCUUUGAUACUGGGGAUCUCGAGUCCGGGAGAGGUGAGUGGAACUCCGAGUGUAGAGGUGAAAUUCGUAGAUAUUCGGAAGAACACCAGUGGCGAAGGCGACUAACUGGACAAGUACUGACGCUGAGGUACGAAAGCGUGGGGAGCAAACAGG
rnacentral:rRNA from 1 species